GCCUUCGUGGUGUAGUGGUCAGCACACUCAACUCGUAACCGACAGGUCCGUGGUUCGAUUCCGGACGAACGCG
rfam:Stegodyphus mimosarum contig82273, whole genome shotgun sequence.